GUACAUACAUAUACCGAAAUUGGAACAAUGCAGAGAAGAUUAAAAUUUCCCCUGCGCUAGGAUGAUACGCAAAAUCGUAAACCAUUCCACAUUUUU